AGUCCAAAUUACAUAACUGAAUAAAUAAUAAUAAACACAAUGCAUCAUAAAAUUAGUUUGCCAUUCACACGUCCCUGUUCAUUUGUCCAUCAAAAGCCAUUAAAGAUUCCUUGAUACCAAAGCAUCUCUCACUGAAAAGAAUUUCUCAAUUUUUCCAUCUCUUCUUUCUUGUAGUAAUAUGAGAUGGAGAGAUACAUGGGUCACAAACUGUUAUGAUUCUGCCCCACGCACACUUGAACUUAAAUGUAUUUUGGUUGUGGACUCUUUUUUUUUCUCUGCGUUUGCUUUAAGAUUAUAUUCUGUAGUUUUCCUCAUGUCUAGGUUUUAGUAAAGUUACCGUGGUUACCCCCUGUUUGUUUAUGUCGAGUUUGUCAUUUCCUGUUAUUACUUUGAAGUCACGUUCCUCUUGUCUCUGCACUUCCUGUCUCUUUCCAGUGGGACUCACCUGGUGUGUUGGGUCUCUGUGCUCGCCGUCCUCGGGUCAGUUCGUCCUGUUUGCAACCGGUCGGGGAUGUCUGUCGUUUGUUGUUCCCCGCAUUGUUGUUUUUUUUAAUCUCCAAGUGAUUUUUGGUUAUCUUUACUUCCCGAGACUCAGCUGAUAGACACUGAAGCAUGACCUGCCAUCAGCAAUGGUACGAUACGUACAGUACAGUAAAGCAUGAUACUGGCAUCCAUGAGGACCCUGAGGACAUCCCUCUUUCCUAAAUUGACCGCAUAAACCAAUGCUGAUAAGCCUGCAUGAUCCUCCAGAGUUGGAUCAGCUCCACUGCUCAGAAGGAGUGACAGAAUUUCAGAUCCAGC